AUGGGCGAAAGCCUGAUGCAGCGACGCCGCGUGAGGGAUGACGGCCUUCGGGUUGUAAACCUCUUUCAGUAGGAAGGAGCGAAAGUGACGGUACCUGCAGAAGAAGCGCCGGCUAACUACGUGCCAGCAGCCGCGGUAAUACGUAGGGCGCAAGCGUUAUCCGGAUUUAUUGGGCGUAAAGAGCUCGUAGGCGGUUUGUCGCUCUGCCGUGAAAGUCCGAGGCUCAACCUCGGAUCUGCGGUGGGUACGGGCAGACUAGAGUGAUGUAGGGGAGGCUGGAAUUCCUGGUGUAGCGGUGAAAUGCGCAGAUAUCAGGAGGAACACCGAUGGCGAAGGCAGGUCUCUGGGCAUCUACUGACGCUGAGGAGCGAAAGCAUGGGGAGCGAACAGGAUUAGAUACCCUGGUAGUCCAUGCCGUAAACGUUGGGCACUAGGUGUGGGGAACAUUCCACGUUUUCCGCGCCGUAGCUAACGCAUUAAGUGCCCCGCCUGGGGAGUACGGCCGCAAGGCUAAAACUCAAAGGAAUUGACGGGG
rnacentral:rRNA from 1 species